rnacentral:lncRNA from 1 species
AGAAUGCUGGGAAGUUGACAUGCGCAUAAAUCUGAGAAGCGUGAGUUUGUCAUAAUUGUUUAUCUAGACAUAGGAUAGGUUGUGUGAAAAUAUUACUGAUGUUUAACGUUAAAAAUGGACCAAAAGAUUAAUGCUAAACAACGUUUGACAUGUUUGAACGAACGUAAAUAGAUUGUUUACUAUUUUUUUGUAGCUUUUCGCCGUGAUUUUACACCCCCCCCCACCACGUUUUGUGGGAGCAUAAUGAACGCUAACUACUUGGUGUUAUUUGGACAUAAAUUAUGAACUUUGUCAAAAGAAACCACAUUUGUUCUGGACCUGGGAUUCCUGGCAGUGCCUUCUGAUGGAGAUAAUCAAAGGCUGGAGAUGUGAAGGACAUCGAGGGUGUUGAGGUCUAUGGAGGCUAUAUCAGCCCCACAUAGCUCUGCCUCUGUCAAGGGUCAAAGGCCCUUCUCCCCCGAUUGCUUAGUUUUGCCGGGCGGCCAGCUCUAGGAAGAGUCUUGGUGGUUCCAAAUUGCUUCAACGCUGCAGACAUUUUUUGGUACCCUUCACCAGAUCUGUGCCUCGACAUAAUCCUGUCUCGGAGCUCUACGGACAAUUCCUUCGACCUCAUGGCUUGGUUUCUGUUCUGACAUGUACUGUUAACUGUGGGACCUUAUAUAGACAGACUGUGCCGUUCCUGGGGAGAAGAAGUCCGACCAAAUCAUUUGUCUUAAAGUGGUUGAUUGGCUCUCUGGAAUCUUAAAUUUGCAUCCCAAAUAGCACAUUAUGCGCUAAUUAAUGCACUACUUUUGUUUAAGGCCAUUUAGGACACAGGCCAUGUACACUGAUGUUUUGGUGGAGGGUUGGUCAUGUCUGUCUGUCUGUCUGUCUGUCUGUCUGUCUGUCUGUCUGUCUGUCUGUCUGUCUGUCUGUCUGUCUGUCUGUCUGUCUGUCUGUCUGUCUGUCUGUCUGUCUGUCUGUCUGUCUGUCUGUCUGUGUCAAUAUUUCUCUCUUUGUUUUGCUCUUUCUUUCUCUCUCGUCUCUGUCUCUUUUUGUCACGCCCUGACCUGAGAGAGAUGGUUUAUUUCUCUAUUUUGUUAGGUCAGGGUGUGGGGUGGGC